AUACGAACGAGACUCUCCCCUGCUAACUAGUCGGUUGGAUCUUUACAUAUUUUGCGAGCUGUACGCCUUUGGUUUAUAGCGCUGGCGUUCUGUGCGUCUCUCUCUCGCGCAUACGUUUACUGCCGGGCCGCUUGCGUGUUGACGCGUGAGUGCUCUGUGAUAUGUGUAUAUGGGCGCGCGCUCUUUUUGAGUGUUCGUGUCUGUGUGUACAUUUUUGCGGGGUAUUUGCGCUGAGCGUUUGCGGUUACAUUCGCGUGGUGCGUGUGUGUGUGUGGGGGGGUACUCGCUUGUCUUCAACGCCUUAUGUGUGUACACUCAAAGUCCGCCGCCUAGGAACCUUACGUGUUCCUAAUUCUUUUUAUAGGGAUCUACGGUACUGAAACCGUCAGAGACUGAGAGCCAUAACAGGUCUGUAAUGCCCUUUGAUGCUCUGGGGCGCACGCGCGCUACACUGCCGGACGCAGCAGGUGUUUUCCCUUCUCCGAUAGGAGCGGGUAACCCUCUAAAAGUCCUUGUUCUCUCUCUACACGAGGAUAGCGGCGUGCUUGGGCCUGGGGCUUGCAAUUGUUUCCCACUAACGAGGAAUUCCUAGUAGCGGCGAGUCACUGAGCUCGCCGUGACUUAGUCCCUGCCCUUUGUACACACCGCCCGUCGCUACUACCGAUUGAGUGUAUUAGUGAGAACCUUGGACUGGCGACCGUUGUUUGCUCGCGCUUACGACGACCACGACGGAAAGAGGUUCGAACUGGUGCACUUAGAGGAAGUAAAA
rnacentral:rRNA from 1 species